rnacentral:rRNA from 1 species
CCUACGGGGGGCAGCAGUGAGGAAUAUUGGUCAAUGGACGAGAGUCUGAACCAGUCAAGUAGCGUGAAGGAUGACUGCCCUAUGGGUUGUAAACUUCUUUUAUAUGGGAAUAAAAUGUUCCACGUGUGGGAUUUUGUAUGUACCAUAUGAAUAAGGAUCGGCUAACUCCGUGCCAGCAGCCGCGGUAAUACGGAGGAUCCGAGCGUUAUCCGGAUUUAUUGGGUUUAAAGGGAGCGUAGGUGGAUUGUUAAGUCAGUUGUGAAAGUUUGCGGCUCAACCGUAAAAUUGCAGUUGAAACUGGCAGUCUUGAGUACAGUAGAGGUGGGCGGAAUUCGUGGUGUAGCGGUGAAAUGCUUAGAUAUCACGAAGAACUCCGAUUGCGAAGGCAGUUCACUGGACUGCAACUGACACUGAGGCUCGAAAGUGUGGGUAUCAAACAGGAUUAGAUACCCCUGUAGUC